rnacentral:tmRNA from 1 species
GGGGGUGAAAGGGUUCGACUUAAGUAGAUUGGUAAAGAGCAGCAUGUCGAGGUUGUCGGGAGGCCUCGUUAAACACCUGGCAAACAAAUAAACGCUGAAACUAAGAUUCCAGCUAGUGUAGAUGCUCUUCUUUCAAGGAUUGGUGAAGGUGUUGUUCAUCCUUCCUUUGUAGGAAUGGCUCUGCCAAGCGUUGCUUUAAGAUAAAGCAACCCGUGUUUUAAUUAGAGCUUGCGGAAUUAAGACACGUCAUUAGCAGGCUCGUCAGGUUUGGUUAGUUUUUAACAAAUUCUGAUUAAAUUUUUAAAAACUGCCUCUUUAAUAUCCAGUCUUUCGGGUUUUUAAAGAGAAAGAUUAAUAGAAGGACUAAACGUGUAGAUACUCUUGCUUGUUGCUUAAGGACGCGGGUUCAAUUCCCGCCACCUCCACCA